rnacentral:rRNA from 1 species
GAUGAACGCUGGCGGCGUGCCUAAUACAUGCAAGUCGAGCGAACGGACGAGAAGCUUGCUUUUCUGAUGUUAGCGGCGGACGGGUGAGUAACACGUGGAUAACCUACCUAUAAGACUGGGAUAACUUCGGGAAACCGGAGCUAAUACCGGAUAAUAUUUUGAACCGCAUGGUUCAAAAGUGAAAGACGGUCUUGCUGUCACUUAUAGAUGGAUCCGCGCUGCAUUAGCUAGUUGGUAAGGUAACGGCUUACCAAGGCAACGAUGCAUAGCCGACCUGAGAGGGUGAUCGGCCACACUGGAACUGAGACACGGUCCAGACUCCUACGGGAGGCAGCAGUAGGGAAUCUUCCGCAAUGGUCGAAAGCCUGACGGAGCAACGCCGCGUGAGUGAUGAAGGUCUUCGGAUCGUAAAACUGUGUUAUUAGGGAAGAACAUAUGUGUAAGUAACUGUGCACAUCUUGACGGUACCUAAUCAGAAAGCCACGGCUAACUACGUG